rnacentral:snoRNA from 1 species
UACCCCAGUUUCACUUUGCCACCAGGACGUUCGUUUGUCCUCAGUGGUCAUUCAUCUGGGGAAAAAUAUAACUCCUCAAAAGCCUGUGAUCUGACUCAUGUUUGAUCUGUGUUUUUGAGGAAACACGA